AUGAAUAUUGCCCUCUUAUCCCGCUGGCUCUGGUGCAUUUCGCAAGGGCAUGGCGGCCUCUGGUUAGACAUCAUCCGGAACAAGUACUUGCGUGGGCAAUCCCUCGCUUUCUGUCAGCGCUCUGGCGGGUCCCAGUUAUGGCAGUCAAUAAUCCAACUUCUCCCGGUCCUCCGCAUUGGGACCUCUAUCUCGGUUGGAUCUGCUGCGACCUUGUUCUGGUUCCACCGGUGGGCCGGAGACUCCCCCUUCGUGAUGUGUUUCCCCGCCCUCUUCUCCAUCGCCGUUGACCCCUCCAUCUCAGUAGAGAGGGCCCUUAUUGACUUAGGGCGCCUCGCCUUCCGGAGGCCGUUCGGUCCGCCGGAGUCCGCCACUUGGUGUGAGUUACUAGAUUGCGUCGCUCUCCACGAACCGGUAGUAGAUGCGGGCCCGGACCAGGUUAGGAGGCGUCUUGAACAGUCUGGCCAAUUCUCCACCAAGUCCCUCUACCAGGCCAUUGCCCCCUCCACCGCCCCUCCCCCUCCUAGCGGUGUGGUCCAUCCGCCUGCCUUGAAGAUACGGAUCUUCAUGUGGCAAUGGAUACGUGGACGGAUCCCGUCUGGGGUGGAGGUUCGCAAGCGAAAUGGCCCUGGGACUGGCCUCUGCCCGCUCUCCGGUGUUCCCGAAGACUCGAAUCACAUCUUCUUCUCUUGUGUGUCUGCUCAGUUUCUGUGGAGCUGCUUUAGAGAGGUGGUCGGUGGCAAUUGGUGUCACACCAACUUCCCCGACCUAUUCGCCGAACUCCAGAACUCCCCCUUGCCCUCUUGCCACAUUAGGUGGCUUGAGAUUGGGGCUCUAGCUUGGAUCCUCUGGACGAUCCGCAAUAAACUCGUGAUCCAGCGCAUCUCUCUUCGACGGGCCACUGACGCUCUCUUCAAACUCUCUGGUUACUUGCAGCUCUGGCGGCCGCUUAGCCUCCCUUCGGACCGGGACGCCAUCUCCGCCUUCAUCGCCGACCUCCGCUCGAUGGCCGUUCGUCUAUCGCCGCCGCCCCCUCUGCCACCGCCGGAACCAUAUUAG
rnacentral:rRNA from 1 species